GUGAUGAUCGCGGAAGAGUUUCUAAUCUUCACAGAGAGCAGACACUGACUGACGGCUGUAAGGUGAUGAAGCUGUUUGCAAACUGAGUGCUGCUGUGACGUGAUUUGUCAUGGACUGGAAGAGCAACCUGCGGCGCACCCAAUCACUGAGGAGCGUCCCCUCGUCAUGUGACAAGCCCACCUGGACAGAGGGGAGGCUGAGGGAGAGGAUAACAUCUGUGUCCCAGCUAGUGUCCAGAUAUCAAACUACCGUGGAAGUAAGUGCAUCCAAUCCAGAAACUCCAGUGAAUAAUGAUGAAGCAAAGGCAACAACGGUGCUC